GGUCUGCGGUCUUGGGCCCGCGCUGGGUUGGUUGCCUUCAAGAGCCCACCACACUUGCAGAAUAAGCAUACUCCGGAGGAAAGCUGAGCAUGGCUGCUCCAGAGCCAGCGUUUCCAUGUGCAAUUUUCCCUCGGAUAGCUCCCGGAAUACUGUUGCCACGGUGAUAAUGACCUCCGUGUCAUUAUCUAUCCACCAACAGUAAGAGAAGCUUUGCAGUCGCGAUAUUGUUUGGCAGACAGAGUGGUUUCUGUUGGACACUAAGUACUGCUACAAAU
rnacentral:snoRNA from 1 species